UAUUAGGGUAAGUCGUAUCAUUAUAUUCACAUGGUAUCGAGAGCCCUAGAUUUUCUUUAGAUAAAAAAACCUAAUCCUUACGGGAAAUAAUUUGUUCCUUCUUCAUAUCACAUAUAUGGAAUCUUCUUCUCCAUCGCUGGUUUCACAAGAUACGCCCUCCACCCCAGCGCCGACAAGAACCUCUUUGCCGCAACCGCUUGGUCCCAUGGGGCAUACGCCAUCAAAUCCAUUGGGUUCGCAGCCGCAACACACAGUCGACGCCCCUCAGUUCGGUGUCUCCUCUAUUGGUGCUCCGACAUAUACCCCAACUUUUUCGUGGCAACCUAUGCAUCCGACUCCACGCCGUCUCUUUGAUGCGCCCUCAACUCAUAUUGGUACGUCGAAUAUUGCCCAACAAUUUUAAUGUUCCAAUAAUGUUGGAAGUAUUGGUGGAUUUAAUGAUUUGUCCCCUACUGUUGGAGCUUGUGGCUUUAAUUAUGUUGGUCAAAGAACCAAUAAUUCUUUUACCAAUUUUGCUGGACCUCGUGGCGCCAAUUCUGGUAGACCACAUUCGCACUUUGAUGGGGGACUUGCAGGCGCAACGUCAUAGACCAACUAUGGAGGGCCUACUUUUACGGGAGGAUAUGGUCUUCUUCCACAAUCAUUAACACCAAGUGGGUAUGGUGGACCACCCGGUUUUCCUCCGUUCACACAAAAUCUUGCUGAAUUGUCUUCCAAUAUGGUAAUUUUGACCUCUAAUAUUAAAAGUAUUGUUACAACUGUUCUUAGGACGGUGGAGGAUUAUUUACCAUGGCGUACUCAAUUUGAAUCUUUUCUAAUUUCUCAUGGAUUAUUAGGCAUGCUUGAUGGUUCAAUUUCUAUGCCCAAUGUUUGUAUAAUUGAUAAUUUAAAUAGAGAAACUGUGAAUCCAGAUUAUUAUCAUUGGUUGAGAAUUUAUCAAACUGUUAGGUCUUGGUUAUUUGCUACGGUGUCUAGAGAUAUACUUGUCGACACACAUGAGGUUAAGUUUUCUGCAUUGGUGUGGGAGAGAUUACAAUCUCGGUUUAUGAAUGCUAGUAUGGCUCGUUCUAUGGAGCUGAAAAGUAUGUUGCGGAAUAUUGCUAAGCAAGAAUUACAGUCAAUUCAAUGGAAUCUUAUCUACGUGACAUAAGAAUUCUUCCUGAUUUCCUUGCUGCAAUAAAUGCUCCUGUUUCUACCCAUGAUUUAAUUCUACACACUGUGAUGGUUCUUGAUCGUGACUAUGAUGCAUUAUCCACACAAUUUAUCCAUUUUACUGGUCGCUUGAACUUUUGAGGAGGUCAAUCGGGCAUUAACAACUCAAGAACAUAUUGUUAAAGGAUGUCAGGCUAGGGCACAGGGGUUUGCAGCGCAUCAGGCGUUCAUGGCAAGUACUCAUUCUAGUUCGAACAAGGCCGCGACUCACUCUUCAAACUCUACUGCAGGGAAACAUUCCGAGGGAUCCCGAAACAAUAAUGGGGAUCAUGGAGGUGGUAAAGGCCGUGGAAAAGGCCGUGGUGGUCGUGGAAAAGGACAUGGUGAGGGUGCAAACCAAAACCAAGCACAAGCCCAAACACAAAAUUCAGGAGGUACAACUUUAUGUAAUUCUGUUUUGUCAUCCAAUAGUGUUGUUGUUUCUCUUGCUUCCUGCGAUACUAACAAUUCGUUUGCAGGGGAUUCUAAUGUUGAUGGGGUGUUUGGUGCUAGUCCCACAAAUAUAGUCUUUCAAAUUUGUUUUCAUCCAGGUCAUUCCGCAAUUUCUUGCCCUUCUCGUUAUUCUCAGACUUUGAAUGCCACUCUUGUUAGUCUUCCCACAGGAGAGCAUAAUGAAACUGUAACACCCCGUACUUUUAAGCAUGCUUUAUUAUUCUGUAAUUAUGAUUUUUAACGUAAUUACGUCCUUAAUUUUUCCAACCUAUUUUAAUUAUCUUAUUAUGUCUACCUUUUACUGUGACAUAAUACGAAUUACUUAAGCCAAAUUUUAUUCUUACACAUGAGUUUAGCCCAUAUUUCAAAGACCAGUUCUAUUAUUAUCAUUUAACGUAUGGAAAUUUCAUUUCUACCCUCAAUGCUCCAAAAACAAGCAAAAUCCCAUAUCCCUUGUUCUUCCUCACGUGUAAAUGGAGCCAACCACCCUUUCGACUUAUUUUUCAAGUACAAAGAAAAAUACACUUUUCUUUCUUUCUUCCUUUGUACGCGUAAAUGAGGGAGUUGGACAACAAGAUUGUUCUCACAAUUUUCUGUCAACUUUAAAGUAAUGUAUCUCCCACUUCUUCCUUGUGUGGCAGCUAUUUCUUUAGCCAAAUAUCUAAAACUUUUCUUAAAUUCAUGACUCACCAUGUCAACAAAUCCCUAUAAAUGGCUUCUUCUGUUUAGUUGUUUGCAACACCAAAACCAAGCUCAAACUCCAUGUAUAAAUCUUAAAGCCACAUCCUCCAUUAUUUUUUUCUAUUUCGGCCACCGCAGCGCCGCCACUGUUGCCACCACUUUCUGCCAGAAAGUCCAGCCAGCCAUCCCUUUUCACAACUCUGACCCGAUGUCACCUUCUCUUUGUCGCCGGAUUCUACCGUGGCCCUGUUGGUUGUUGCUAUGUUGGCGUGUUGUUGCGUGAGCUGCUGCGCCAUUUUUGUUGCUAACAGCUUCAUUUUUAUUCCAAUGUAAAAGGAGGACCAAAAGUUAAAAAGGAGAUGUUAAAUAUGAGUGGGCCUUGUUGAAUCUUAUUAAGUCCACUAGAAGCAAUAGUGGACAGUGAGUUUGUAAUUAAAGAGCAAAACAAUUGUGGGUCUUAGGAAGCUACGUAAGUUUCUCAUAAUUUGAUAUAAGUUUAAGUAUCUUUUUGAUGAUUACUAUAUGACUAAUUUGAGUUGUUAUGGUUAAUUAUGGAGAAAUUAAUCGAGCUAAAGUAUGAUGCAUUUUGGACCUAUCUCGCGAGGGUAUCAAAGGAUUAAGCCGAAAAGAUGGAUAUCGAGGUCCCAGGAUUAUUUAUGCCCAAUUCCGCUGCUAAUGAUGAGCUAAGUGCGGUUUAUUACCGAUAAUUAAGGUACUGAAAAGUCGGGGCGUUACAGAAACAAUUUGGUUUCCUGAUUCAGGAGCAUCUUCUCACAUGACUAACGACCAAGGACAACGACACGGGGGAGGUGCUUCUCAAAGCUUCUAGUCAAGGCAGUGUCUAUCCCAUCACCCUCACCAACACACUUAGGAGGCCAAUUGCACUUUUGUCAAUCACAGCUCCCAUUCCUACAUGACAUCGUCGUCUUGGUCAUUGUGGUGAUAGAGUAUUAGGUUUUCUUAAGAAAAAUAAGGCCAUUGUUUGCGCCAGUGGACAUUUUGAUUGUGUUUCGUGUUGCUUAGGAAAGUCUCAUAGACUACCUUUCCAGGAUGUAAUACACUCUUUUGAUAAGCCUUUGCAAUUAGUUCAUUCUGAUUUAUGGCAGUCGAAUA